AAUGAAUCGUCUGGCAGCCGACAUACAGACAUACGCGCCAUAUUGGUUGUGCGAAAGCUGUUGUUACUGCUUGCCCCGAAACGUUUAAUGAAAACGUUUCUCAUUAGUGGCCCCGUGCGCGUGUGCUGCUUGUUGGAAAAUGGAACGGAAAUGUAACAAAUUUCUAAGUGAGUAGUGAGUUUUUGUGCACUUUAUUUAUUCACUUUCUCGUGCUUUAAAAUAAAGCAAUUCUGAGGCAGAUCUGGCUGACGCGUAAGGAUCGUGCCGCUCGCUCGUAUAUCUUGUAAUGGGCGGGGAGUGUGCUUAUUGCAUGUGAAUUCGGUAUAAGUCUUUGGCUCCGAGAUUGGACGUGUAGGAAGAUGGGCCCUGUUUUUUGUUUUCUUUUUUUGAAGGAGAUUUUCUUUUCCUCGAACGCGAUCCAAUAUCAAAAGGCGUCGUCGCGCGGGCCUGAUGCUCUUCUUUAGUAUUGUGCAUUGCCACUAAACUAUCUUCGGCCGAAAUACCGAAAAUCCAAUAAACGUUCAAUAAAUUCCUUCUCACAUCGGUUGUGGAAUGUUGACACGGAGAGAAACGCACCCACCCGCACGCGCUUGGCGACGGAUUGCAAUUUAUCAGGCCCCGCCCGGCCCAGCCUGGGGAGAGGGAGUGUGCACGUGAAGGUGGUGUUACCGGCGUUGGGUUGGAUUGCUUGGAUUUCGUCGUUCCUGUGAAAGCUGUCAAAUGUCAGGCCCCCGCCUUCUCCACGGAGUUAGGGUGACACGCGUAACAACGGACUCCUGCCAGGCCAUGGGGCCGGUGCAUUCCUUCGCGAUGCAAACGAAGAUGGCACCCGGUGACAGUAGUUGGUGCAUUUCCAGUCAGUGCAUUUCCCCAGUAUACAUGAACAGUCGGUGGCUUCGGGAAAAUUGCUCCUUUCUACAGACAUGCUGGAUGCGCCAGCAUAUCAAAGACGAAUCGCAUCGCUCGAACGGCGAACCAAAUCAGGAAAAAUCAAUCUCCGAACUGAUCCAGCACGUGGAAUGGCACAUAGCGCCCGUUGCGCCACAGAGUCGUCGCUCGUUAGAAAUUA